rnacentral:tRNA from 1 species
GCCGAAGUGGCGGAAUUGGUAGACGCGCUAGUUUCAGGGACUAGUAAACGCAUGUUUGUGGGAGUUCGAGUCUCCCCUUCGGCACCA